CUUAAUGUCCGUGGCCUCAACACACCAGAAAAACACUCAUUGACACUCCAAGAAUUACAUAAAUUAAAAGCAGACAUAACCUUUAUUCAAGAAUCCUAAUAUUGAGUCAUAUCACAAAGCUAUAAUUAUGAUUAGAAUAUACGAGUGGUCUAUACCCAACAACCCUAAACAAUAAGUACAACUGGAGAGCAACUCUUUCCAGAUUCC